AUCCCUGUGAGAAUGCCCUUCCAUUUCCUUCCGAAAUAAAGGAGCAGGCAUUAGGCACAACCUUGGUUAGCCCACAAUGCCUUGUUUAGCCACACCCCCAAGGGAACCCAGCAGUAAUCAACAUUAAGCAAUAAGUGCAAACUUGACUUAGUUACACACCAAGAGAGCCGGUAAAACUCGUGCCAGCCACCGCGGUUAUACGAGAGGCUCAAGUUGACAAACACCGGCAAAAAACGUGGCCUAUAAAGUAUUACACUAAAGCUAAACUUCUUCAAGGCUGUUAUACGCAUUCGAAGAAAAGAGAAUCUUCCACGAAAGUGGCUUUAAAUAAUAUCACCCACGAAAGCUAGGAAACAAACUGGGAUUAGAUACCCCACUAUGCCUAGCCCUAAACACAAGUGAAUGUCCUCACCUUUGCUUGCCAGGGUAUUACGAGCUCCAGCUUAAAAUUCAAGGGACUUGGCGGUGCUUUAGAUCCACCUAGAGGAGCCUGUUCUGUAACCGAUAACCCCCGCUUAACCUCACCCUCUUUUGUCACUCCC
rnacentral:rRNA from 1 species